rnacentral:rRNA from 1 species
GGGGUGCAGCAGGCGCGAAAACUUUACACUGCGGGAAACCGCGAUAAGGGGACCCCGAGUGCCAGCACCUAGUGCUGGCUGUCCAGCUGUCUAAAUAACAGCUGUUAGCAAGGGCCGGGCAAGACCGGUGCCAGCCGCCGCGGUAACACCGGCGGCCCGAGUGGUAACCGUUAUUAUUGGGUUUAAAGGGUCCGUAGCCGGCUUAUUAAGUCUCUUGGGAAACCUGGCGGCUCAAUCGUCAGGCGUCCAAGAGAUACUGGUAGGCUUGGGACCGGGAGAGGUGGGAGGUACUCCAGGGGUAGGGGUGAAAUCUCGUAAUCCUUGGGGGACCACCGAUGGCGAAGGCAUCCCACCAGAACGGGUCCGACGGUGAGGGACGAAAGCUGGGGGCACGAACCGGAUUAGAUACCCGGGUAGUCCCAGCUGUAAACGAUGCUCGCUAGGUGUCAGGUGCGGUGCGACCGCAUCUGGUGCCGCAGUGAAAACUUGAAGCGAGUCACCUGGGAAGUACGGUCGCAAGGCUGAAACUUAAAGGAAUUGGCGGGGGAGCAC